UACGGUCAAAUCACGCUGAAACACCGGUUCUCGUUCGAUCACCGAAGUUAAGCAUCGUAGAGCCAGGUCAGUACUUAGAUGGUGGACCGCUUGGGAACACCUGGUACUGUAAG